GACGAACGCUGGCGGCGUGCUUAACACAUGCAAGUCGAACGGAAAGGCCUGCUUUCCCUUGUGGAUUGCGGGUACUCGAGUGGCGAACGGGUGAGUAACACGUGAGUGAUCUGCCCCCAACUUGGGUAUAAGCCUGGGAAACUGGGUCUAAUUCCCGAUAGGACUGCAGGGUGGUGCCUGUGGUGGAAAACGAUUUUCUAGUGGUUGGGGAUGAGCUCGCGGCCUAUCAGCUUGUUGGUGGGGUAAUGGCCUACCAAGGCGGCGACGGGUAGCCGGCCUGAGGGGGUGGACGGCCACAUUGGGACUGAGAUACGGCCCAGACGCCUACGGGAGGCAGCAGUGGGGAAUAUUGCACAAUGGGCGGAAGCCUGAUGCAGCGACGCCGCGUGGGGGAUGACGGCCUUCGGGUUGUAAACUCCUUUCGACCGCGAGGAAGCCACCUGGUUGGAAGGGUGGUGACGGUAGUGGUAGAAGAAGCACCGGCUAACUACGUG
rnacentral:rRNA from 1 species